UACAGAGGGGGCAAGCGUUGUUCGGAAUUACUGGGCGUAAAGGGCGCGUAGGCGGCCUUCUAAGUCGAACGUGGAAUCCCCGGGCUCAACCCGGGAACUGCGUCCGAUACUGGAAGGCUUGAAUCCGGGAGAGGGAUGUGGAAUUCCAGGUGUAGCGGUGGAAUGCGCAGAUAUCAGGAGGAACACCAAUAGCGAAGGCAGCUCGCUGGGACGGUAUUGACGCUGAGGCGCGAAAGCGUGGGGAGCAAACAGG
rnacentral:rRNA from 1 species